rfam:Shewanella frigidimarina NCIMB 400, complete genome.
AAAUAAAUCACAAUUUACAGGUUUUAUAAUAAAAUAACCUCGUGAUUACGGGGUUUUUUGUUAUAUGAACUUUUAAAUAUCCGUGUUAGAUGCGGGUUGCAAUGGGGCUAUUAGCCCUUUUUUU